AGAGUUUGAUCCUGGCUCAGAGUGAACGCUGGCGGCGUGGAUUAGGCAUGCAAGUCGAGCGAUUCUCGCAAGGGAAUAGCGGCAAACGGGUGAGUAACACGUGAGUAAUUUGCCUUAAAGCUGGACAUAGCUUCGUGAAAACGGAGGUAAUUUCCAAUGUGGUAUUCGAGAUGCAUAUUUUGAAUACUAAAGACUGGGAUCUUCGGACCAGUCACUUUAAGAUAAGCUCGCGUCCUAUCAGCUAGUUGGCGGGGUAAUGGCCCACCAAGGCAUUUGACGGGUAGCCGGCCUGAGAGGGUGUUCGGCCACACUGGGACUGAGACACUGCCCAGACUCCUACGGGAGGCUGCAGUCGAGAAUCUUUAGCAAUGGACGAAAGUCUGACUACGCGACGCCGCGUGCAGGAUGAAGGGUUUCGGCUCGUAAACUGCUUUUGUUGGGAAAGAAUAGAUGCAGGCUAAUAACCUGCGUUUUGACGGUACCUAACGAAUAAGCCACGGCCAAUUCCGUGCCAGCAGCCGCGGUAAUACGGGAGUGGCAAGCGUUACUCGGAAUUAUUGGGUGUAAAGGGUAAGUAGGCGGUUUAUUAAGUGAGGGGUGAAAUCUCCCGACUCAAUCGGGAAAUUGCCUUUCAAACUGAUAGACUUGAGGUUGGGAGAGGGAAAUGGAAUUAGCAGUGUAAGGGUGAAAUCUGUAGAUAUUGCUAAGAACACCAGCGGCGAAGGCGGUUUCCUGGUCCAAACCUGACGCUAAACUACGAAAGCUAGGGGAGCAAACAGAAUUAGAUACUCUGGUAGUCCUAGCUGUAAACGAUGAGUACUAGGUAUCGGUCCUUCGGGGUCGGCGCCACAGCUAACGCAUUAAGUACUCCACCUGGGGACUACGGCCGCAAGGCUAAAACUCAAAGGAAUUGACGGGGACCCGCACAAGCGGUGGAACAUGUGGUUUAAUUCGACGCUACGCGAAAAACCUCACCAAGGCUUGACAUACAGGAAGUAGUGAACUGAAAGGGGAACGACCCGUUAAAUCGGGAGCCUGAACAGGUGCUGCAUGGCUGUCGUCAGCUCGUGUCGUGAGAUGUUGGGUUAAGUCCCGCAACGAGCGCAACCAUUGCCCUAUGUUGCUAAUAUGUUUUCCGAAAGGUUAACGUAUGCACUCUUAGGGGACUGCCUGGGAUAACCAGGAGGAAGGCGGAGAUGACGUCAAGUCAGUACGGCCCUUAUGCCUUGGGCUACACACGUGUUACAAUGCCUGCUACAAAGGGUUGCCAACCCGCAAGGGGGAGCUAAUCUCAAAAAAGCAGGCCCAGUUCGGAUUGAAGUCUGCAAUUCGACUUCAUGAAGCCGGAAUCGCUAGUAAUGGAAGAUCAGCACGCUUCCGUGAAUACGUUCCCGGGUCUUGUACACACCGCCCGUCAAGCGAUGAAAGUUGGAAAUACCCGAAGUC
rnacentral:rRNA from 1 species